UUGUCAAGCCCAGAGACAGAUGUGGAGAGGGACGUCUUCCUGUAUAGAGCGUACCUUGCGCAGAGGAAGUUCGGCGUGGUCCUGGACGAGAUCAAGCCCUCCUCGGCCCCUGAGCUCCAGGCUGUGCGCAUGUUCGCUGACUACCUCGCCCAUGAGAGCCGGAGGUGAGGCCCCGGAGAAUGGGUUGGCCUGGGGCGCGGGGCCUUCUCCAAGGCCUGUUGGUUAUGAACCUGGGUGGGCGGGGGCAUGGCGUGCAGCGCACAGCAUCCCUCAGAUUAGGCGCGUCUCCCCUCUGCUCCUUGCUGCUUUGUGCCUCAGUUUCCCUCACCUGCACAGCAGUGGGGGCUGGUGAUGGGUCCUGCUUCAAAGAGGAGGGUCAGAGACAGUGCUGUGUGUGCACACGCCCUCAUGGACCACAAGGCACUCUCUGAACCUAGAACUGAAAAUACCAAUUACCGAGCAGCCCUCUGCACCACCCAGAGCCCCAAGAUAGCCCAGGGCGCAGCGGGGGCAGGGCCCUCCCAUCAGUUUUCUUAUUUAUUUACUUAGAGACAGAGUCUCACUCUCCUGGGUGGCAGAGCCAGACCCUGUCUCAUACACAAAAAAGAAAAUAAAUAGGGAUGUCACGCUGUCAGCAAGCCGGCGGACUCGGUGCUGGUCCAGGUGCUGGCUCCUGUUGGCGGGAAAACAAGAACAAGAGGCCUCACGAGUAAUUCGUGGUCACAGCCGCCUGGGGCUGAGAGGGAUGAGGGGAUGAGGGGACCUGCAGAGAGUGGGUGGCCCCAGGGCUCUGGUGCAGGGGUGGGUGUGUGGCCCUCCGCUAGGGCCUUGUUCCUGAGUGUCAACCGCCUCCUGGGUGUUGAGUCCGGGCAGGGCCCUCCAUCUGCAAGCACAGCCCAUGGAGGCUGCUUCUCCAGAUAGGCAGUGAGUGGGCCGGGGCCUGGAACCCUGUCCUCGGUACCCGCCCACAGCUCCCAGGCCCGAGGAAGCUGAGUGGUGAAAUAUGGGAGUGAGGGUGUCCCCCUCUGCUGGGGGGUGCUGGUGGUCCUAAGCACAGGACUUAGGAACAUCCCAGACACACACAGUGAGCCCUGGGUGUGGAGCGGCCAGGCAAUGUGUCUGUGGCCACCCGCUGACCGCCCCCUGGCCCUGUCCUGCAGCACAGCCAUGACAGUACAGAUCCUGCUGAAGCUAGACCGCCUGGACCUCGCCCGGAAGGAGCUGAAGAGAAUGCAGGACCUGGACGAGGAUGCCACCCUCACCCAGCUCGCCACUGCCUGGGUCAGCCUGGCCACGGGCGGUGAGAAGCUGCAGGAUGCCUACUACAUCUUCCAGGAGAUGGCUGACAAGUGCUCGCCCACCCUGCUGCUGCUCAAUGGGCAGGCAGCCUGCCACAUGGCCCAGGGCCGCUGGGAGGCCGCCGAGGGCCUGCUGCAGGAGGCGCUAGACAAGGAUAGUGGCUACCCGGAGACGCUGGUCAACCUCAUCGUCCUGUCCCAGCACCUGGGCAAGCCCCCUGAGGUGACAAACCGAUACCUGUCCCAGCUGAAGGACGCCCACAGGUCCCAUCCCUUCAUCAAGGAGUACCAGGCCAAGGAGAACGACUUUGACAGGCUGGUGCUACAGUACGCUCCCAGCGCCUGAGGCUGGCUCAGAGCUGUCAGGACCACGAAGCCAGGACAGAGGCCAGGAGCCCUGCAGCCCUUCCCACCUGGCAUCCACCCCUCUGGGGGCAGGAGCCCACC
rnacentral:sRNA from 1 species